GAGGAAUUCAAGCUUGCCCUGGCAUCAAGAUGGGAGGGGUCUCUCUCCUGGAGGGGUGAGUCGGCUCUCCCCUGGCUGCUGCUGUAUAGGAAUUCCCAAAGACACCCAAGGUGGGAGCGGUCUUCUCCCUAGAAGGGAGAGUCUUUCUCCCCUGGCUACAGUGGUGUAGGAGCUCCCCUGACACCCAGGUGGGAGUGGUUCUGCAGCAAGGAGGGGCGAUUCCCCUCUACCCUUUCUAUGGUGGUAUAGUCGCUGCCCCCUACCAUACCCACGUGGGAGGGGUCUCCAAUAUGGAGGGGCAAGUCCCCUCUACCCUGGCUGCUAAAGAAUAUGAGCUCCCCCUGACACCUUGGCGGGAGGGGUCUCCUGCCUGGAGAGGCAACAACCCUCUACCCUUGCUAAGGAUUUAUACAAGCCCUGGGGUGACACCCAGUUGGGAAGGGUCUCCUUCCUGGAGGGGCGAGUCCCCUCUACCCUGGAUACAGUGGUAUAUGAACUCCACCUGCCUGGAGGGGCGAGUCUCCUCUACCCUGGCUGUGGCAGUAUAAUAGCUCCCCCCACACACCCAGGCGGGCAUGGUCUCCCGCCUGGAGUGGCGAGUUUCCCCUAACCUUGUUGUGGCAUUAUAGGAGCUCCCCUGGACACCCAGGUGAAAGGGGUCUCUACCCUGGAGGGGCGCGUCCCCUCUAUCCUGGCUAUGGCAGUAUAAGAUCGCCCCCCGACACCCAGGUGGGAGGCAUAUCCUGCCUGGAGGGGCAAAUCCCCUUUACCCUGGCUGUGGCAGUAUAAGAGCUCCCCCUGACACCCAGGUAGGAAGAGUCUCCUGCAUAGAGCAGCAAAUCACCUCUACCCUAGCUGUGGAAGUAUACAAGCUUCCUCGGACAACCAGGUGGGAGGGAUGUCCCGCCUGGAGUGGUGAGUCCCCUCUAUACUGGCUUUGGUAGUAUACUAGCUCACCCCAGCAGCCAGGUGGGAGAGUUCUCCCCCCUGGAGGGGAGAGUGCCUUCUACUUUAGCUGUGCCAUAUAAGACCUCCCAAAACACCCACGUGGGAGGCGACUUCCCACUGCAGGGGUGAGUCCCCUCUACACUGGUGGCGAUGGUAUAUGAGCUCCCUUCAACACCGAGAUGGUAGGGAUCUUUGCCAGGAGAGGCGAGUCCCCUCUAACCAUGCUGUGGCAGUAUACAAGAUCC
rnacentral:lncRNA from 1 species